rnacentral:pre_miRNA from 1 species
GGGUCAUUGUGAUGUUGGCCCGGUUCACUCAAGAGAUUAUAUAAGAGAUGUUAUUUUUAUUUUAUUUUUUUUGAAAAAUCGUUGUUGAAAGACAAAAAUUCUCUUUUUUUGAUCUUUUGAUUGAGCCGUGCCAAUAUCUUAGUGCUUCUU